CGCUGCCCCACCGCACUGGUUGUUUCCUUCGUCCAGAAGAAAGAGAGAGGAAGGAGGUCGCCAGAUACGCCCGCCCCGCUCCAACCCUCUUCUCCUCCUCACGUACGACACCUCCUUUCUCCUCCCUCUCCCCCUCUCUCUCAGACCCACUGGCGGCGGAGACUGGUGGCAGAACACUGCACGCGCCGGCCGGCGAGGAGGAGCUGCGCUGUCGCCGGCGCACCAACUGCGUCUACUGCCUCGCCUCCCCGUUGACCUACAAGAAGGUAUAUUCCCACAUUGAACUGAAUUGUUGCUAUAUUCGGUUGAUUCAGACAUAUUGUAUCUUCAAUGGCUUUCACUGCUGGGCAAAAUCAAGCGAUGGAAGAUCCAUGGUACAUUGUGGUGUUAUCUGCUACUGAUUUACAGGCCUUGUGGUUGUCGUUCCCAUGGCUGUGCCGUUCACGUUUAUGCAGGGUUUAAAGUUUGAUGUAGGAUGGGCACACAAGUUUGAUGUUUGCAGUUACAGAUUUUUGUCAAAGCCCGCUGAAACGAAGUUUAGUUCAGCAGACCAUGUAUGUUGGAAGAAAGCAAAUUUCUUGCCUUCUGAAUCCUCCGUAGCCAUCAUAUUUUAUUUCAGACCGAAUUGUCCCAGCUCAGUGUAUCUCAGCGAAGUAGCGGGUUCAUGCAAGGCCUGGCCGACGGCAACGACUUUAGGGGCUGUCGUGCUUUGCAUACUUCAUCUAGGUAAAUUGUGCUAGCUUUCAGAUUAUUCAUUUUCGUUUUACCCUGUCAAAGAUCUUCUCAGAUUAGUUAACCAAGCUAUGUAAUGAUGGUGUUGUGAUUCCGAGGGCUCCGUUGGAGGAUCAGCUUUGGUUCAGAGGCAGGUUUUGGGCAUACCGCAGCACAAGCAGAGGCAUAUCUCAGUCGAUGCUACUGCAGUUGAUGAUGCCCUGAAGCUUUCUUCAGUAACUGACUCAGCGUGCCGCUGUUCUCUAAGGUCGUUGAGUGCUGAGAACAGGCAAUAUAAUUAGGCUUUUAACGAGAAGAUGGAGGAGAUAAAAACUUUCAGGAAGUGUUUAGGCGAGUUCCAUGCCGAAAAUAAUGUUAUGUGAGCAGAGAGUGCAGGCUUGUGGUCUUCUGUUGAAGAGCUUGAGCAUGAGAGAUUGAAUCAACACAUAAGUCAUGAGAGCAUAUAUUUAGACGAGGAGAGGUGACUGGUCAAAGAAAUUAAGACCCUUGAAAAAACCAGACCGAGGGUCAGUUCCAAUGCUGCUAAGCAAGCUAAACUGGAAGAUAUAGUGGUUGAGAGAGAUGCCAUACAUGAUCAGGUGAAAAUCAUCAUACAUGGAGUAAAGGAGGGAGAAGCAGCCAUGUCUAAGAUUAAGGUCCUGGACGAUGAGGCGAUGGGCGUGGAGAGCUGCUACAAGCUCGCGCAGGCGGCAUACGUCAACCUCGCGCUGCACACACUCAAGCACCUGGCGCCCGUCGUCAAUGGGCUCCUCGUCCAUGAUUAGCUGGACAACAUGAACCUCGAGGAGGUUGUGAAGGGGAACAUCUGUGACGCCGUUCUUUAGGUGCUCGCCCAUAUCUAUAUAAUAAUAAUGGUGCAAUACUGCAUAGGAGGAAGUUGUUUGGGCCUUUUACUGAUGGAUAUAUUUCUUACUUUUGAUCCUCAUCAAUAAUCUCCAGGUCUUUGGGAGUUUGCUAGCAGUCCUGGUCAGACUUGGACCAGGGACUAGCGUCCUGGAUGCCUUGGCAUGCUCGGCUCCACCGGUGUUGCAAGCCCAGUUCAUUUCAGGAUCAUCAAGCUUCCCGUGUACAUCUACCACCCAAGUCAUGUGAACGAGCCGAUGAAGAUACUCAACAUUAUUUGCUUCAGCUACUUCCUUCGUAACUACAAGAUACUUAAGAUGGAGGCCUGCUCGUGGAUGCUCCACUGGUUUACUGCAGUUUCAAGGGCUUAGGGAGCGCCUCCUUGUUGACAACCUCUUCCUUGCCAAGCUUGUCAUGGAGUGCGUCGUCGAGCCAUCAGCAAUGUCUGUUUUAUUUUGAGAAGCCGUCACUCACCGGAUUUAGAUAGAUCAUCCGCGACUGCCACUGCCGCCUGUCGGAGCUGUUAACUCAGCUUUACCCUAUUUUGAACUGUGGCUCCACUUUUGGACAGAAUGUACGAUUAUGUAUGCCAGUAUCAAAAACUGUGUCCCCUUCA